AAAAUGAACCCCAUUCACAAAAGCCACAUCAGCAGGAAAUGGAAGUAGAGCAGCCUUGUGUCACAGAGGUUAAGCGGCAUGUGCCUGAGAGCAGAAAGUCGAGAUCCAGGUCAGCAUCCAGGUCACCAAAAAGAAGAAGAUCUAGGUCUGGCUCUAGGUCUCGGAGAUCCCGCCACCGUCGGUCUCGGUCCCGGUCCAGGGAUAGGCGCCGGCACUCGCCUCGCUCUCGCUCUCAAGAAAGACGGGAUCGAGAAAAAGAGAGGGAGCGGCGGCAGAAAGGCCUCCCUCAGAUCAAGUCAGAGACUGCAAGUGUUUGCAGCACCACACUGUGGGUGGGACAGCUGGACAAAAGGACUACUCAGCAGGAUGUUGCCAGUCUCUUAGAAGAGUUUGGUCCAAUUGAAUCAAUUAAC
rnacentral:lncRNA from 1 species